GGUGUAGGUGGCUCUGUAAGUCAGGAGUGAAAGCCCCGAGCUUAACUCGGGAAGUGCUUUUGAUACUGCAGAGCUUGAAUGUGGGAGAGGAUCGUGGAAUUCCAGGUGUAGUGGUGAAAUACGUAGAUAUCUGGAGGAACACCGGUGGCGAAGGCGGCGGUCUGGCCCAACAUUGACACUGAGACCCGAAAGCGUGGGGAUCAAACA
rnacentral:rRNA from 1 species